rnacentral:sRNA from 2 species
AAACCUUAGUCGCUUAAUCAUUAUGAGCGGGGGAACCACUUUGAUGGAUAAAAUCCAUCUUGGGGUGAAUCUUACUUAGUAAGAGGGGAUACUCUCAGUCCCUAAUCCGACAGCUAACCUCGUCAGCGUUUUUUGGAGAGAAG